UUUCUGUCCUUUCCAGAUGCAGAAUCCCCUCUGUCUGAACCAGCAGCUGAUAGGUAUUUUGUAAAUAUUUCCAAAGCAAAUGAAAGCAUCGCUCCCUUGCUCAAUGGUCAGGCUUUGGCGCCCCUGUGUGAUUCGGACCUAUGCACUUGCCAGCCUUCUGGGGAACUGGUUGCUCUCAUUUCUUAGCGACUGGAAACCGUUGUCCCUGGGAGGGCUUUGUUCUCGUACUUCCCCUGCUGUGAGUGCUCUUCCCCCCCUUCACCUGGCCCCUCUUUCUCCUAGAGAAGUCAGUCUCUCCUGCUUUCCUCUCCUGCUUUCCUCCAUCCAAAGUCGCUGUCCCUGUUUUCUUUAUCCUCUCUUAGAUUUAAAGGUAAGUUGUAAUUAUAUGGGAUUUGAAGGUUUGUUCCUCAAAGAGCUGCCUGGGUCCUGCCUGAGGGCAGGGCUGUAUCUCUGUCAUCCCCCCGUGAGGCACUGUCACCAACUGCAAUCUGGGACUUGGUGUGGCCCCCAGGCCCUGGGCACUGAAUGAUGGUACCAUGGGAGUGGGGUGGCCCCAGGUCUCCCAAAGGUGAGGGUCAGGGACACCACCUAGGGGUCACUGAGCCCAUAACUGCACCCAAGGCCCAUCCCCACAGUGAAGAGCGGCAUCCAUUGGUUUCCAAAUACUUGAGUUGUCGCUGGAGACCUCUGUGAGCCUCAGUUUCCUCCUCUGCAAAGCGGUGCCAAGAAUCACUCAUCAUGGGGAUCCCGGAAAGGAGCCUAGACAGUCUCACCUAGCGCGGGCUGCACAGCUGUGGGAGGAGCCUAAACUGUCUCACCUAGCGCCGGCUGUGCAGCCUGUUAGGAGUGCGCCCUGGCCCUCUCUCCUGUCUGCACCUGCCUUUCCGAUGACUCAUCCUGUCCUGGAGCUCUAAGUAAGACCUGCUUGUUGAUGGGGCCUUAAUUUGACCCGCAGCGCUCCAGGCUCCCUGGAGUCCCUGCUUGGACGUUCCCUGGGGACCUGAAACUGCCCUCUGCUGUAGCCGACUGUCUCCCGCUCCCCUCUGCACACCCAGCCUGCUUCCUUCUCUCCCGGCUCAGAGACAGAUGUGACAGCACCUGUGUGUGCAGGGUGGACACCUGGAGGCUGGGAGCGUCCCCCGUUCCCUCCUGUCUCUCAGUGCCACCUUCUGCUGGCUCAGUCUCCAAGCCCCUCCCAUGCCCGCUGCCACCACCUGGUCCAAGGUGACAUCUGUGGCCUUCAGAGCACCUCACAGCCUAGACGGGGACCUCCCUUCCUCGCCUCUCGCCCCUUCCUCCUUCCGCGUGGCAGACUAGAUGCUCUCGGAACUGUACUCCAGGGCGUGAGGAUUCCCGCAGGUGUCAGAUUCACAGCCGCCCUAGGGCACGGAUAACUGACUUCCCCAUUAGCAGACAGGAUCGUGAAAGCCACCCUUUUGCCUGUUCAGUGUUAUUUCCUCUCCACUACCCUGUGUGGCUCAGCCAGUGGGUCCAGCGUCCAUGGGUACAAUCAACGAUGCAUUGAAGCUAUUGGGACAAGCCUGUUUCCCCAGGAGGUACGGACUUCUGCCUGUCGCUCCCUACAACAUCUACACAGCAUUCACAUUGUCUUGGGUAUUCUAAGCAGACUGCAGCUGGGCUGCUGGGGUGCCCGACGGGAUGGUGCAGGAGCCAUGGGGAAGCUGGUGGGGUGCAGGAGGAUCUGAGGACACUCUGCUGAGGUCCAGACACUCAGGGAGAGAAACAGAGAGAGAGAGAGAGAGCAGCAGGACACAGAGUGAGACGAGAAGGGAGCUUGCGGAAUUGCAAAGACGCCUUUGAACUUGAGCCCCAGGAGUGGAGAGAAAUGUUGGUCAAGAGGAGAAGCCCUGUGAGCCGCAGGAUGAAGGCCAAGUUGGUAUCCAGCGAGCCCUGCGCCCUUCCUGAUUGGUCCCCAUGGCACACACACCUUCUUUGCAGCCCACCGGCUUCCCAGACAGAGUUGCGGCCCGCAGGCCUGCUUGGCCCCCCGACCCUGUCUCAUGGCCUCUUCUCUCUGUGAGGUCCCCUCCUCUCUGUCCCCACGCCCUGGCCCCAGUGCAGACCUGCUCUUCUCCCGUGGACCAUCACCUGGGCGUCCCUCAUCAUCGGUAUGGCCCCUGGACCCGAGGGCUCCUCUCGGCCCGGCUGGCACUGACCUGCCCACAGAGGCCCAGCCCUGGCCUGGCAUCAGAGCAGCCCCGCACCAGAGAGACAGGUGGGACCAGUGCCCUUUCAUGCUUGCAGUUUCUAGCAGUCCCAAGUUUCUGUUUUCGUUUUGUUUUUAAAGAGGCUGGGGAUGUGGCUCAGUGGCAGAGCUGCUGCCUAGGAUGCACAGAGCCCCGGCUGCCAUCCCCAGCAACAGAAGGGGAAACAAGUUGUAAAAAGAUGUUAAAUGUUCUUAUCUCACAAAAGAAGUGUGAGGGCUGGAGAUUUAGCUCAGUGGUUCCAGCUCCUGCCAUACAAGCACACGGCCCCGAGUUCGAUCCCCGGUACCAAAAAAAAAAAAAGAGAAAAGGUAAAAAGAGACAGGAAGAAACUG